ACGGAAGGCAGCAGUGGGGAAUAUUGGACAAUGGGGGAAACCCUGAUCCAGCGACGCCGCGUGAGUGAAGAAGUAUUUCGGUAUGUAAAGCUCUAUCAGCAAGGAAGAAAAUGACGGUACUUGACUAAGAAGCCCCGGCUAACUACGUGCCAGCAGCCGCGGUAAUACGUAGGGGGCAAGCGUUAUCCGGAUUUACUGGGUGUAAAGGGAGCGUAGACGGCAUAGCAAGUCUGAAGUGAAAUGCAUGGGCUCAACCUAUGAACUGCUUUGGAAACUGUUAAGCUAGAGUGCAGGAGAGGUAAGUGGAAUUCCUAGUGUAGCGGUGAAAUGCGUAGAUAUUAGGAGGAACACCAGUGGCGAAGGCGGCUUACUGGACUGUAACUGACGUUGAGGCUCGAAAGCGUGGGGAGCAAACAGGAUUAGAUACCCUGGUA
rnacentral:rRNA from 1 species